rnacentral:rRNA from 1 species
CCUACGGGUGGCAGCAGUGAGGAAUAUUGGUCAAUGGACGAGAGUCUGAACCAGCCAAGUAGCGUGAAGGAUGACUGCCCUAUGGGUUGUAAACUUCUUUUAUAUGGGAAUAAAAUGUUCCACGUGUGGGAUUUUGUAUGUACCAUAUGAAUAAGGAUCGGCUAACUCCGUGCCAGCAGCCGCGGUAAUACGGAGGAUCCGAGCGUUAUCCGGAUUUAUUGGGUUUAAAGGGAGCGUAGGUGGAUGGUUAAGUCAGUUGUGAAAGUUUGCGGCUCAACCGUAAAAUUGCAGUUGAAACUGGCAGUCUUGAGUGCAGUAGAGGUGGGCGGAAUUCGUGGUGUAGCGGUGAAAUGCUUAGAUAUCACGAAGAACUCCGAUUGCGAAGGCAGUUCACUGGACUGCAACUGACGCUGAGGCACGAAAGUGUGGGUAUCAAACAGGAUUAGAUACCCGGGUAGUC